rnacentral:lncRNA from 10 species
GGGACAUCCUUUUCUCUCCCUGGGUCUGUGUCCCCGUCGCUACAUCCCAGCCUGGAGGGCAUGGCCCAGCGGUUGCAUAGGUCCCUCGGUUUCUGCAGAGCCCGGGAGUCACCCUAUUUUGGUAAAGGUGAAUUGCUCCUCCAUGGGUCGUGAAAGAAGAUCAUGUCAGUGGUGGUGUUUCUGCUCGUCUCAGAAGGGAAGUCUGUGACCCGUGGGAGUUGCUGGGGAGGGCCUGGUCUGGGCCAGGCCUCUUCUUUGGGUUGCCCCCUCACACACUCUGGUCAUCCAGGAAGCCUCUGUGGCCCUCGGAAUGUGUAAAAGAUGGUGGUUUUAGGAGCUGCUGGUUUUGCAACUGAGUGCUGACGGCUUAUUUCUUGUUAAUGAUUCUGUCAAAAGUGUCUUAGCGAUGCUCUUCAGCCCUUCAUCACCCACCCAAAAAAGAUUAAAGUGGAUUCUUCAUCAGCUAUUUUAAAAUCACCUAAGAAUUAUACAAUCCUUUGGAGAAUCAA